CUUUUAAAGGAAACAAGCCCUCC
rnacentral:tRNA from 1 species